rnacentral:rRNA from 1 species
AUUGGACGCUGGCGGCAGGCCUAACACAUGCAAGUCGAGCGGAUGAAGGGAGCUUGCUCCUGGAUUCAGCGGCGGACGGGUGAGUAAUGCCUAGGAAUCUGCCUGGUAGUGGGGGAUAACGUCCGGAAACGGGCGCUAAUACCGCAUACGUCCUGAGGGAGAAAGUGGGGGAUCUUCGGACCUCACGCUAUCAGAUGAGCCUAGGUCGGAUUAGCUAGUUGGUGGGGUAAAGGCCUACCAAGGCGACGAUCCGUAACUGGUCUGAGAGGAUGAUCAGUCACACUGGAACUGAGACACGGUCCAGACCCCUACGGGAGGCAGCAGUGGGGAAUAUUGGACAAUGGGCGAAAGCCUGAUCCAGCCAUGCCGCGUGUGUGAAGAAGGUCUUCGGAUUGUAAAGCACUUUAAGUUGGGAGGAAGGGCAGUAAGUUAAUACCUUGCUGUUUUGACGUUACCAACAGAAUAAGCACCGGCUAACUUCGUG